UAUUGGACAAUGGGGGCAACCUGAUCCAGCAAUGCCGCGUGUGUGAAGAAGGUUUUCGGAUUGUAAAGCACUUUCGGCGGGGACGAUGAUGACGGUACCCGCAGAAGAAGCCCCGGCUAACUUCGUGCCAGCAGCCGCGGUAAUACGAAGGGGGCUAGCGUUGCUCGGAAUGACUGGGCGUAAAGGGCGUGUAGGCGGUUUGUABVGUCAGAUGUGAAAUCCCCGGGCUUAACCUGGGAGCUGCAUUUGAUACGUGCAGACUAGAGUAUGAGAGAGGGUUGUGGAAUUCUCAGUGUAGAGGUGAAAUUCGUAGAUAUUGGGAAGAACACCGGUGGCGAAGGCGGCAACCUGGCUCAUUACUGACGCUGAGGCGCGAAAGCGUGGGGGAGCAAACAGGAUUAGAUACCCUGGUAGUCCACGCUGUAAACGAUGUGUGCUGGAUGUUGGGUAACUUAGUUACUCAGUGUCGUAGCUAACGCGRUAAGCACACCGCCUGGGGAGUACGGCCGCAAGGUUGAAACUCAAAGGAAUUGACGGGGGCCCGCACAAGCGGUGGGAGCAUGUKGGUUUAAUUCGAAGCAACGCGCAGAAACCUUACCAGGGCUUGUAUGGAGAGGCUGUAUUCAGAGAUGGRUAUUUCCCGCAAGGACCUCUUGCACAGGUGCUGCAUGGCUGUBGUCAACMCGUGUCGUGA
rnacentral:rRNA from 1 species